rnacentral:misc_RNA from 1 species
GAUGAAGAACGCAGCGAAAUGCGAUAAGUAAUGUGAAUUGCAGAAUUCAGUGAAUCAUCGAAUCUUUGAACGCACCUUGCGCUAUUUGGUACUCCGAAGAGCAUGCCUGUUUGAGUGUCAUGAAAAUAUCAACCUUGACUUGGGUUUUGUGCUCUAGUCUCGGCUUGGAAUUGGGUGCUUGCCGCUUUUACGAGCGGCUCACCUUAAAUGUAUUAGCUGGAUCUGUCUUUGAGACUUGGUUUGACUUGGCGUAAUAAGUAUUUCGCUAAGGACAUUCUUCGGAGUGGCCUCGUUUCUAGGACGCUUGCCCGCUUUCCAAUACAAGUUCCACCUCGUGGACAUGACUUUUUAUUAUCUGGCCUCAAAUCAGGUAGGACUACCCGCUGAACUUAAGCAUAUCAAUAAGCGGAGGA